rnacentral:rRNA from 1 species
AAGUCGUAACAAGGUUUCCGUAGGUGAACCUGCGGAAGGAUCAUUAAGUGAUAAGGGCAGUUUUUUACUCGCCCGCCCGUCCUGUCCAGUCCCGUCCAGUCCUGUCCUGUCCCGGUCUCAUCCCAUCCCAUUGUUCUUGCGUAUGUACGUUUUUACAUACGGGUGGAUCCCCUUCUCCGGGGAGAUCCAUAUUGGGGGAAGAGAAAGGAAGGAAGGAAAAAAGGAAAAGGAAGAGAGACAACCCUUGUGUGCAUCCAUUGAAACAUGCUUUGGGAAAGUGGGUUUUCAAGGAAGCCCCUUUGAAGCUCCUUCCCAGAGUUUUGUUCUCACACCAUGCUUUGACUUUUUUAAGACUGAAGAGAGAAAAAAAAAAUAAUCCAAUACAACUUUCAACAACGGAUCUCUUGGCUCUCGCAUCGAUGAAGAACGCAGCGAAAUGCGAUACGUAGUGUGAAUUGCAGAGUUCAGUGAAUCAUCGAAUCUUUGAACGCAUAUUGCACUCUGCGGCAUUCCGUAGAGUAUGCCUGUUUCAGUAUCUAUCAAGAGUGAGUGGGACACCGAUACUUCUCCACCGUCCCGGUGCUGAGUUUUACAAUUUAUCUACAUGGUAUCAUGUAGAUAGAUUAGAUAGUGGUGUUCCCCCCAUAUGGCUGAGGUUUGCCGAAGUUUUUGAAUUCUUUUGGCUGGCCUCAAAAAGGAUAAUCACAGUGGGUCCAGGUGAUACCUUUCUUUUGUUGGAAGGUCGUGUUAGUUGGCUGGUUUUGCAGUCAUCCUCACCAGAAGCAAAGGAGGGAAAGAGGUAUCUUUUCUGGGUUUCAAUCUUUGGGGUUUUUUGCAGGAAGAAAAGCGAACGUCAGAUGUUGUCUGUGUUUCGUCCAAAGUUCGAUCUGAAAUCAGGUAGGAUUACCCGCUGAACUUAA